rnacentral:rRNA from 1 species
UACGGAGGGUGCAAGCGUUAUCCGGAUUUAUUGGGUUUAAAGGGUCCGUAGGCGGAUCUGUAAGUCAGUGGUGAAAUAUCACAGCUUAACUGUGAAACUGCCAUUGAUACUGCAGGUCUUGAGUAAGGUAGAAGUGGCUGGAAUAAGUAGUGUAGCGGUGAAAUGCAUAGAUAUUACUUAGAACACCAAUUGCGAAGGCAGGUCACUAUGUCUUAACUGACGCUGAUGGACGAAAGCGUGGGGAGCGAACAGG